rnacentral:lncRNA from 1 species
AAAGAUAGUUUAGAAAAGAAAGCUGUUGUUGUGACGAAAAAUGUUCAAAAGCAAGAAAAAUCUCCGAUUUAAAACUUUAAUUAUCCCUUGACUUUAAUAUAGGUAAUUGAUUAGGGAGACUACUUUAAAGUCGUUUGAGUGACACACGUGUUUCAAGCAUAGUUUUACGUCUCAACUUUUUCAUUUACGAUGGUCAAGAAAAUAAAACUGUCGUUAUGAAGAAAUCUAUCAAAAAGGUUGGGAACAACCCCUCGAAUGAGAGUAACCCUUCAAUGUAAUGACUACACAUGAAAUGAGGGAUCAAUUUCAUGUGAUAAAAGCUUUUGUUUUGUUGUAAAAACCACUUCUUAGUACAAUAGGGCACAUCAGUAUUUUUCUUUUAAAAAAACUUUCCCUACGAUCUAUACUGGUAUUAUAUG